GCCAGGCGUGGUGCCGCACGCCUGUAGUCCCAGCUACUCAGGAGGCUGAGGCAGGAGAAUCGCUUGAACCCGGGAGGUGGAGGUUGCAGUGAGCCGAGACCAUGCCACUGCACUCCAGCCUGGGUGACAGAGCCAGACUCUGUCUCAA
rnacentral:SRP_RNA from 1 species